UCGGGAAUUUUGGGCAAUGGGCGAAAGCCUGACCCAGCAACGCCGCGUGAAGGAUGAAGUAUUUCGGUAUGUAAACUUCGUAAGAAUAGGAAGAAUAAAUGACGGUACUAUUUGUAAGGUCCGGCUAACUACGUACCAGCAGCCGCGGUAAUACGUAGGGACCAAGCGUUGUUCGGAUUUACUGGGCGUAAAGGGCGCGUAGGCGGUGUGUCAAGUCAGUUGUGAAAUCUCUGGGCUUAACCCAGAACGGCCAAGUGAUACUGUCGCGCUAGAGUGCAGAAGGGGCAAUCGGAAUUCUUGGUGUAGCGGUGAAAUGCGUAGAUAUCAAGAGGAACACCUGAGGUGAAGACGGGUUGCUGGGCUGACACUGGCGCUGAGGCGCGAAAGCCAGGGGAGCAAACGGGAUUAGAUACCCCUGUAGUCCCUGAGCGGGCUGGCAAGGCGCAU
rnacentral:rRNA from 1 species